AACGAACGCUGGCGGCGUGGAUAAGACAUGCAAGUCGAGCGGGAACUUUCGCUGUAGCAAUACAGUGAAAGUUCUAGCGGCGAACGGGUGCGUAACACGUGGACAAUCUGCCUUAAAGUGGGGGAUAGCUCGGCGAAAGCCGAAUUAAUACCGCAUGUGAUGAGAGACGACAUCGUCUUGAAAUCAAAGCCGGGGCAACCUGGCGCUUUUUGUAGGAGUCCGCGGCCAUCAGCUAGUUGGUGAGGUAACGGCCACCAAGGCUAUGACGGGUAGCUGGUCUGAGAGGACGACCAGUCACACUGGAACUGAGACACGGUCCAGACACCUACGGGUGGCAGCAGUCGAGAAUUUUUUGAC
rnacentral:rRNA from 1 species